UACGUAGGGCGCAAGCGUUGUCCGGAAUUAUUGGGCGUAAAGAGCUCGUAGGCGGCUUGUCACGUCGAUUGUGAAAGCCCGAGGCUUAACCUCGGGUCUGCAGUCGAUACGGGCUAGCUAGAGUGUGGUAGGGGAGACUGGAAUUCCUGGUGUAGCGGUGAAAUGCGCAGAUAUCAGGAGGAACACCGGUGGCGAAGGCGGGUCUCUGGGCCGUAACUGACGCUGAGGAGCGAAAGCGUGGGGAGCGAACAGG
rnacentral:rRNA from 1 species